rnacentral:rRNA from 1 species
GACGAACGCUGGCGGCGUGCUUAACACAUGCAAGUCGAACGGAAAGGCCCUGCUUUUGUGGGGUGCUCGAGUGGCGAACGGGUGAGUAACACGUGAGUAACCUGCCCUUGACUUUGGGAUAACUUCAGGAAACUGGGGCUAAUACCGGAUAGGAGCUCCUGCUGCAUGGUGGGGGUUGGAAAGUUUCGGCGGUGGGGGAUGGACUCGCGGCUUAUCAGCUGGUUGGUGGGGUAGGGGCUUACCAAGGCUUUGACGGGUAGCCGGCCUGAGAGGGUGACCGGCCACAUUGGGACUGAGAUACGGCCCAGACUCCUACGGGAGGCAGCAGUGGGGAAUAUUGCACAAUGGGCGGAAGCCUGAUGCAGCAACGCCGCGUGCGGGAUGCCGGCCUUCGGGUUGUAAACCGCUUUCGCCUGUGACGAAGCGUGAGUGACGGUAAUGGGUAAAGAAGCACCGGCUAACUACGUG